rnacentral:lncRNA from 1 species
UUGGUUUGCCAAGUCAUUCUGAAUCUAAUGAUCUUUGGGUGAUUCCCCAGACUGAGGAGGAAGCAACAGCAGCUGUGCAUUGGGCCCACAGAAAGAAUGGUUGAAGACUGCAGUGUAUUUUGAGUUUCUGCUUUGGAGGGGAGGGUUGGUCCUGAUGCCCACAGACGAAUGGCCUCCUGGUUCCAAUCAAGGCCAGCCCAAGAGUCUGCUUCUGGAACCCAAACCUAAGGGACUCAGCUAUGUUUGUGUUGACCUACUAUCAAUAAAGAAGAUCCUUAUUUAAGAACAGGCCACCUUCUGUUUUACACAUAUACUUUCUGACCCUAGAAAUUGUUCAGAAGGUGGAAUGUUUUGCUGUUUCAAUGAGAUCACAUGUGUAAAGGC